rnacentral:lncRNA from 1 species
GUGCCCCGCCUUGUGCGCCUGUGCGAAGUACCGGCGGAUUUGCUUGUGGAGUCCUGGGAGGUGUGAGGCGUUGGCGUCGUCUGAGGGUUGCUGCUCUUUGGCCGUCGCUUGCCCGCUAUGACUUGCUCUUCCCUGCGUUCUUCAAGCUGUUCCUGCGAGCGCUGUCCUGGACGGCGACGAGGAGCAGGGAGGCGAGCCGUCACCUGAGGCUCUGACGAGAGUCGCCAUCCUGCCGGGUACUGACGCGGUCACGGCGAUGGCCUUUUAGUCCCUUGCCUGGUCCUCACCGUGGCGGAGCAGGUGGAUUGGCAUUUUGACUUCACAUGUCAUGCAGCAAAGGAGAUUUGAUGUGCUUGUGGAAUCCUGCUCAACAGUUACUUGAUCUUCCUCAGGGUCCUCCUGGCAGUUGUUACAGCUAUUAUGUCAACCAUCAUGUGUGUCACCGUGAAAGGAUGUCACUGGAUCUGUGGUCACAGAGGGGAAACACUCUUUGA